GACGAACCGAGCGAACGUUGUUCGGAAUCACUGGGCGUAAAGGGCGUGUAGGCGGGAAGGAAAGUCAGAUGUGAAAUCCCCAGGCUCAACCUGGGAACUGCAUUUGAAACUCCCUUUCUUGAGUACCGGAGAGGAAAGUGGAAUUCCUGGUGUAGAGGUGAAAUUCGUAGAUAUCAGGAGGAACACCAGUGGCGAAGGCGGCUUUCUGGACGGUAACUGACGCUGAGACGCGAAAGCGUGGGGAGCAAACAGG
rnacentral:rRNA from 1 species